AAUACAAAUUCAGAUAAGUGAUACAGUGAUAUGAUGUUAU
rnacentral:guide_RNA from 1 species